CUGCAUCAACUGAUAGACCUUUGAACAAUUUGCUGCUGUUCUUUUGGUUUACACUAGGUUGCAAAAGGAAAAAAAUCCCAGGGCUUUCUGUCUCUGUGGCAGCCAGAUUGAAUUGGGGUAAACAUAU